rnacentral:rRNA from 1 species
GAUGAACGCUGGCGGCGUGCCUAAUACAUGCAAGUCGAGCGAACGGACGAGAAGCUUGCUUCUCUGAUGUUAGCGGCGGACGGGUGAGUAACACGUGGAUAACCUACCUAUAAGACUGGGAUAACUUCGGGAAACCGUAGCUAAUACCGGAUAAUAUUUUGAACCGCAUGGUUCAAAAGUGAAAGACGGUCUUGCUGUCACUUAUAGAUGGAUCCGCGCUGCAUUAGCUAGUUGGUAAGGUAACGGCUUACCAAGGCAACGAUGCAUAGCCGACCUGAGAGGGGGAUCGCCCACACUGGAACUGAGACACGGACCAGACUCCUGCGGGAGGCAGCAGUAGGGAAUCUUCCGCAAUGGGCGAGAGCCUUACGGAGCAACGCCGCGUGAGUGAUGAAGGUCUUCGGAUCGUAAAACUCUGUUAUUAGGGAAGAACAUAUGUGUAAGUAACUGUGCACAUCUUGACGGUACCUAAUCAGAAAGCCACGGCUAACUACGUG